UCACUUAAUUGGCGCCAGGACCAGGGUGAUCAAGAAUGCCCUGGUCACAGGUGGAGGCUCGCCUUUGCACUUCGGCGUGUUGAAGCCUGCGAAGAUCCCUAAUUGGGCUCGCUCGGACGCGUAGUUUUUGCUAAUGGGAAGGUCUUCGGAUCAUUCCUU
rnacentral:snRNA from 1 species